GUGUUUAUAAAAAAAUUUAAAAAUCAAUAGGACAAUAGAGACAAAAUUCAGGAGAGUGGCUACAACUGCAUUAGGAGGAAGAGGAACACAGGGUUAAUUUUUUUGGUAAUAGCUUCACUGAGGUAUAAUUUACAUACUGUUGACGGUGAUUGUGAGACCUCUGUUCUUGUCUUCUUGGUUAAAAUAAUUUUAACAAGAGACACAACCAUAGAGGAACAACAGAAAGCAAUGUAUUGCAAAAGAGAAAGAACACUCUGAAAGCUGAGUGUAAAAAGAAACAGCUGAAAGUAAUUUAGUGCAAAGAUAAAACUCUGAAAGAUACACUCUGAAAGGUACACUCUGAAAGAUAAGUCAGAGUGGGCUGAUCAAGAGUGAGUCAGCAAAGACUGGCUCUGAGGGAACUCCCUUUAUGAGAGUCUUAUGUGAUUAUUCAUAGUGGGUGGGAAGAGGUGUGUUCCUAGUAAUCAUGUUCUGGGUGGUCCUCUGGGUGCACAUGAGCAGUUGCUGUACAUGCUUGUUCAUACAUUGCAUGUCUCAUUGCCGUCUUAAAUCUCUACCCAGGGGUGUGUUUUUUACUAUUAUAAUGAGCAAAGGGUCAUUCUGAGGACAAGCAAAGUGAAAAUGCACAUGCUCUCUACAGGGGAAAGUCCCCAGUGAAGGUAGUUCUGCUUGGAUGAGCUUGAUUACAAUGUGAGUGCUGAGGUUUGUUGUGUUGUUGGUGCGGUUGCUAUGUCCCAAUGAACAUGGUUACAGGGCUCAUUGUGCUGUUGACAGUGUGGUUGCCAUGUCCCAAGGACGUGGUCAUCUCCUUGACUAUCUAUCCUGCCUCAGUACCAUAUAGUUCACUUACUAAAGUAUAUAAUUCGAUGCCCUUUAGCAUGUUCACAGUCAUGAAACUAUUACCACAAUCAACUUUAAAACCUUCUCAUCACCUAAAAAGAAACACAACCUGAAUCCCCUAGCCCUUCCAUCCCUAAAUAAUCAUUACAAUCAUGAAUUUGCUUUAUGUCUCUGUGUGUUUUCCCAUUCUUGAC
rnacentral:lncRNA from 10 species